rnacentral:lncRNA from 1 species
AAAAUCAAAAAUCAAAAUCAAAAGAAGAAAAGGGAAAAAUUAAGGGAAAAAAUAUAAACCUUUUAUAUAUGCAUAUUUAUAUUAAAGAAGAAUUCAAAAUCAGUAUCAAAAUCAAAAAAUCUAUGUAUACAAAAUUUGAAAAAGCAAGAAUAAAAAUUUUUUUUUUUCCCCACAGGCCCCUGUAUUAGGGUCCAGUUAAGUAAUUUCUAAUCCCUCAAGUCUGUAGGACAGAAUGCAGCAUAUUUUACUUCCCCAUUUGCAGCCAAGGCUACAGGAAGUUGCCAUACUAUAGGAGAGAAAAAAAAAAAAGCCCAGGUGGAAAGAAUCAGUCCUUAACUCACGUGACCGAUCUGAAGGAAAGCUGUCUGCGGGCGUCCUCUCUGUCCAAGCUCCUAACACCCACUCCCCCUAGCUCUCUCCACAGGAAGUCAGCGAAUUCCAGAGGCUGUUCCCUACCUCACUUCCUGUGUCUCACAAAUCCAAUGGUUGGCUCUAGCUUGGCUUAGGACAGCCCAGGUGGGCAGUUAGUUAUUUCUGAUUUGUCAUUGACUAGCGCAUGCCCAUGUAGUGUGGGUGUGCACAAUUUUUUUGUGCUAGACCAAGAUGGAGACUUUUAAAAUUCACACAACCACCAUAACCUCUGCAAGUAGUCAUAGUUUAGUUUCCUCAUUGCCUGCUUUAAUUCCUUCCAUUUCUUUUUCUUUUCUUUCUAUUUCCUCUUUUGAUGAAUUACUAGAAUGAUAAAUUAGGGAAUUUUAUUUAUGUGGUUUACAAAGAUUUUGCUGAAACUUAAGACAAACCAUCUCAUGUUAUUCCUGUAGAAAAGAUGGAUGGUUGUGGGUUGUACUUCAAUAAUUUCAAGUCAAUUUUGAACUAUUUUGAAUGAGUAGAUGCAAAAAAACAGGGUAUUUUUGAUUCUAGGUUUUAUUUUGUUUUUCUGGCUGUGAUUUAGUUUAUACCAGUAGAGUGAGUAGGAAAUGUAAUUUGGGGAAAACUCAUAUAUCCACAUUCAGUAAAACAUCAAUAAUUAAACAGAUAUCCCAAGGGCAGUGGAAAUACAACUCAACCU